rnacentral:rRNA from 1 species
UACGUAGGGGGCGAGCGUUGUCCGGAAUCAUUGGGCGUAAAGAGCGUGUAGGCGGCUCGGUAAGUCCGCUGUAAAAGUCCAGGGCUCAACCCUGGAAAGCCGGUGGAAACUGUCGAGCUAGAGUCCGGAAGAGGCGAGUGGAAUUCCUGGUGUAGCGGUGAAAUGCGCAGAUAUCAGGAGGAACACCAAUGGCGAAGGCAGCUCGCUGGGACGGUACUGACGCUGAGACGCGAAAGCGUGGGGAGCAAACAGG